rnacentral:rRNA from 1 species
AUUGAACGCUGGCGGCAGGCCUUACACAUGCAAGUCGAGCGGCUGCACGGUCCUUGCUCUUGCAUUCAGUGGCGGACGGGUGAGUAAUGCCUAGGAAUCUGCCUGGUAGUGGGGGAUAACGUCCCGAAACCGGCGCUAAUACCGCAUACGUCCUGAGGGUGAAAGUGGGGGAUCUUCAGACCUCACGCUAUUUUAUGUGCCUAGGUCGGAUUAGCUAGUUGGUGGGGUAAAGGCUUACCAAGGCGACGAUCCGUAACUGGUCUGAGAGGAUGAUCAGACACACUGGAACUGAGACACGGUCCAGACUCCUACGGGAGGCAGCAGUGGGGAAUAUUGGACAAUGGGCGAAAGCCUGAUCCAGCCAUGCCGCGUGUGGGAAGAAGGUCUUCGGAUUGUAAAGCACUUUAAGUUGGGAGGAAGGGCAGUAAGUUAAUACCUUGCGGGGAUGACGGUACCAGAAGAAUAAGCACCGGCUAACUACGUG